GAUGAAGAACGUAGCGAAAUGCGAUACGUAGUGUGAAUUGCAGAAUUCAGUGAAUCAUCGAAUCUUUGAACGCACAUUGCGCCCUUUGGUAUUCCAAAGGGCAUGCCUGUUCGAGCGUCAUUUGUACCCUCAAGCUUUGCUUGGUGUUGGGCGUCUUGUCUCCAGUCCGCUGGAGACUCGCCUUAAAGUCAUUGGCAGCCGGCCUACUGGUUUCGGAGCGCAGCACAAGUCGCACUCUUUUCCAGCCAAGGUCAGUGUCCAACAAGCCUUUUCUCAACUUUUGACCUCGGAUCAGGUAGGGAUACCCGCUGAACUUAAGCAUAUCAAUAAGCGGAGGA
rnacentral:misc_RNA from 1 species